rnacentral:rRNA from 1 species
GAACCUCACUUGUGGGGGGAUUAGUGGCGAACGGGUGAGUAACACGUGAGUAACCUGCCCUUAACUCUGGGAUAAGCCUGGGAAACUGGGUCUAAUACCGGAUAUGACUCCUCAUCGCAUGGUGGGGGGUGGAAAGCUUUAUUGUGGUUUUGGAUGGACUCGCGGCCUAUCAGCUUGUUGGUGAGGUAAUGGCUCACCAAGGCGACGACGGGUAGCCGGCCUGAGAGGGUGACCGGCCACACUGGGACUGAGACACGGCCCAGACUCCUACGGGAGGCAGCAGUGGGGAAUAUUGCACAAUGGGCGCAAGCCUGAUGCAGCGACGCCGCGUGAGGGAUGACGGCCUUCGGGUUGUAAACCUCUUUCAGUAGGGAAGAAGCGAAAGUGACGGUACCUGCAGAAGAAGCGCCGGCUAACUACGUGCCAGCAGCCGCGGUAAUACGUAGGGCGCAAGCGUUAUCCGGAAUUAUUGGGCGUAAAGAGCUCGUAGGCGGUUUGUCGCGUCUGCCGUGAAAGUCCGGGGCUCAACUCCGGAUCUGCGGUGGGUACGGGCAGACUAGAGUGAUGUAGGGGAGACUGGAAUUCCUGGUGUAGCGGUGAAAUGCGCAGAUAUCAGGAGGAACACCGAUGGCGAAGGCAGGUCUCUGGGCAUUAACUGACGCUGAGGAGCGAAAGCAUGGGGAGCGAACAGGAUUAGAUACCCUGGUAGUCCAUGCCGUAAACGUUGGGCACUAGGUGUGGGGGACAUUCCACGUUUUCCGCGCCGUAGCUAACGCAUUAAGUGCCCCGCCUGGGGAGUACGGCCGCAAGGCUAAAACUCAAAGGAAUUGACGGGGGCCCGCACAAGCGGCGGAGCAUGCGGAUUAAUUCGAUGCAACGCGAAGAACCUUACCAAGGCUUGACAUGAACCGGAAAUACCUGGAAACAGGUGCCCCGCUUGCGGUCGGUUUACAGGUGGUGCAUGGUUGUCGUCAGCUCGUGUCGUGAGAUGUUGGGUUAAGUCCCGCAACGAGCGCAACCCUCGUUCUAUGUUGCCAGCGCGUGAUGGCGGGGACUCAUAGGAGACUGCCGGGGUCAACUCGGAGGAAGGUGGGGACGACGUCAAAUCAUCAUGCCCCUUAUGUCUUGGGCUUCACGCAUGCUACAAUGGCCGGUACAAAGGGUUGCGAUACUGUGAGGUGGAGCUAAUCCCAAAAAGCCGGUCUCAGUUCGGAUUGGGGUCUGCAACUCGACCCCAUGAAGUCGGAGUCGCUAGUAAUCGCAGAUCAGCAACGCUGCGGUGAAUACGUUCCCGGGCCUUGUACACACCGCCCGUC